GGCUGCUCCCCUCCUUUCCUCCCGCCACAAGCGCUCGCUGUGGUUCUGGCAGCGAAGGGCGAGACUGGGCUCGCCAGGCGGAAGUGGUUGGAGACUGCGUGUUUUCCUAGAAAGUCCUCGACCUUCGUCGGGGAGAGGAGGGGAGUGAUAAAUUGGAAGGCGGACAAGCGACAAGUGCAGUACUGGAAAGACCCAAACAUACUUGGUUGUGACCUCAGGACUCAAUAAAAUAAACAGCUGGAAAUAAGCAGACUACUGUAAGAGUGAAUUGGAAAGAAAACCCAAGGUCACAUCUCCCAAGAAGCAGUAAUGUUCCAGCAAUAAGAAAAGGACAGUUUUUUGUCUUUUGCAUGGUGAGCCUUAUAUGAAUUACAUCAAUUUUGUCACCAAUAUCCAUCAUCAGAACAUUUUGUGGCACUGUGGCUCGAACCAAUGUCCAGCUUCCACACUAUCUGCUUGGAAGAGGAUUACCCUUAUUUGGAAGUCUCAGUUUUGAGGAUUUGGGGAAAGCAGGCACGCAAGCAGACACACCUUAUUCUCUACAGCAUCAUUUAUACCUCAACUAAGUCAGCUGAGCAAAUGCCUGCUGAAAAGUUCUGGGAGUGGCAUAGCUAAGAACCAGAAAGGCGAUCUUUCUUUUGGAUUAAGUCAACAGAGUCAUACCCACAAGGAGAACUAUCAAAUAUCAGAUGCGAGAGGUGAAGUGGGGUUAUAAGAUUCUACAUAACACAUUGCAAAUGGUCACAACAAUCAAGACUAUA
rnacentral:antisense_RNA from 1 species